CGCGAAUUAGGAGCGGGUGCAAUAUCUGGAGAAGCGACUGGGGAAGGAGAAAAGGAGAGGGGAAGGCGUCUUAUUCAAGUAUGAUUUCUCUCGGGUCCUGGCAUUGGCAUAAAAUGGCAUCUGCCUCUUAGUAAACAUGGCUAAAGCCCAGUCCAAAGGAAUUUCCGCUGGCCGAUUUAGGAAUCAACAGAAUAAGUGGCUGUGUGGUGGCUAGCAAGAGGGCAGAGGAAAACAGAACUUCUUCCUGGCUUUUCGGUCUUAUGAUUCCAAACAAAGUCACAACGUGAACACCAUUCUCGCUUACUUUCCCGAGCCUCUUCUGACGGACACUGCGGGCCCCUGCACCUGCAGCCCGUCAUCAUAGCUUCCUGUCUUUCUGAGAGCAUACCCAUCAUAACGCCCCUCUCUCCCGCAUCAUCUUCUCUCGAGGUGAGAAAUAUGUGCGAGUCAAUAUCAUGUUAAAAACAAAUAAGAAAACAAGCAAACACACCACAACCCCACCUACAGCUUCCCCCAAAGGUUUCCUUCCUACAGGUCCCCAAAAGGUUUCCCAGCAGGAUGGUGCAGUGGUGGCUAAAAACAAGGGUGUGUGGAAGAUCCCGGAGUCCGGAACAGAAUGUAAGAGUCGCUAGCUUUGUCUUCCUAAUUCUCUCUUGUCAUGGCUGUACAAUGGAGAUUAAACUAUGAGCAGCCUGGCGCAGUGGCUCAGGCCUGUAAUCCCAGCACUUUGGAAGGCCAAAGCGGGUGGAUCACGAAGUCAGGAGUUCGAGACCAGCCUUGCCAACAUGGUGAAACCUCAUCUCUACUAAAAAUACAAAAAUUAGCUGGGCGUGGUGGUGCGCACAUGUAAUCCCAGCUACUGGGAAGGCUGCGGCAAGAGAAUGGCUUGAAUCCAGGAGAUGGAGGUUGCAGUGAGCCGAGAUUGUGCCACUGCACUCCAGACUGGGUGACAGAGCAAACUUUGUCUCAAAACAAAAAACAAACAAACAAACAAAAAACAACUGUGAGCUAACAUUUUUCUCCACACUUAUGCUCUAGACAUGCCUUGUUAUUUAUAUUUCAAGUAUAUUACCAAAUAAUUUUCACAGCAAAACCCAUUUUACAGAUGAGGAAACUGAGGCAAAAGGAUACAUAGUAAGUGACAGAACUGAGAUCCAAAUUCAGGGAGUCUGAUUUCUGGCCUCAGGCCAGAUAACCACACUAUUAAUAGUGAAAUUAGCAUUUAAACUGAAGUUUCAGUGUGCAAUCCAUGUAAAUGUUUAGUGCAGUUCUUGACCAUAUGCAGUAAAAUCUUCAGUCAAUGUCUAUUGCAUUUAUCCCUCUUCCCCUCUGUAGGGCAAUGGAGUUGAUCGAAAAGAAGAUAGGCUCCUGGAGUCACACCAUGUCUCCAGAUCUGAGUUUCUUCUUUGAUGGUGAAUAACAACACAUUCCUUUUAGAGUUUUGUUUGGAUGACAUUAGAAAGCAGUGCUAAAGUGACUGGCGCACUCACUAGCCUUUAAUAGGGGCUCAAUCCCUUUCUAUCCUAAAUUUAUCCCAAAUCCAGACUACAUUCUCCCCACUCAGUCACUUCUUAACCCACUGCGGUUUGGAUUUUGCCCUUAGCCACCCCGGGAACUGUUCUGCAGAUAAUAACACAUAUUUCAAGAGUAGUUGUGAGGAUUAAAUGAGAUCAUGUGUUUGAUCUUUGCUUGGCAUAAAGAACAUAAUAGCUUUUGUGAUUAAUAAUGAAGAUCUAAUUGCAAAAUUCAAUAGGCCCUGGAAACUCUCUCUUUGAUUUUUUCCCUGUGAACUAUUGGUUGUUUUUCCAUUCCUUUCUGCCCUUUCUCAGUUCUGUCAGCUGCCUCCUCUUUCUAGGCCUGCCUCAAGCGUUCCUGACAUCUUUACUCUGCCCUUGGAAAAUGCCAAAUCCAGAAGAAAAUUCUUUUUCAGUUCUUCUGCUUUGGUGGUCACCUCUGGCCUUUAAAUAUAUAGUUCUGGGUCCCCCUCAGCUCCAGUCCUCCUUGCCAAAGAAGUUCAUCCUCUUCCCCUUUGAAACCAUCUUUGAGACUUCCCUCCCUUUAGCUACAGUGCAUAUUUCUGUCACAACAUUUGCCACUCUGUACUCCACAUGAUUCUUCAUUCAUAGAUACUGAAGACUGACAGCAUGUCUACAAUGGCUCCCUUCCCUUUGCUGCACCUCCAAUCUGUUAUUUAAGCCAUAAGCAUAAAAUAAGAGUGCCAUCUCACAGGGUUGUAGUAAAGAAUAAUUGGAUAGUCCAUUUCAAGAGAUUAGCAGAGUGCCUAGCACAUAGCAAAUGCUUAAAAAGAGUCGGCUGAGACCUAAGAGAAUCGCUUGUCUGUUUUUGUCUAAGGCAGAGAUCAAGGCAUACCCAUCUUUAUAUUUUAAUGACCAGCCAUGUCAUUCAGAAUAAUCAUAGUAACAGGGGAUGAUGAGCAAGUAGAAUAAUCCCUAACAGAGAUUCCCAGCUGUAAUUCCAGACUAGAACAGAAUAUGGAUAUGGGAGCCAGCAAACCAGAGAACACUAGUAGCAACCAAAUUUUGGACUUAUAAUAACUCAUUUGCAACUAACAUACAUCCAGGAAGAGGGAGCAAUGGAUGAAAUGGAUGAAGCCAGCAGCAGCAUGUCCAGCAAUGACAAAUAAAUGGCACCCCUCCCAGACUCUUGGAAUGACUUCUUGGGAAAUUGAAUUGAAAGCAAAUUAAAUGGGAAAAAAACAAUUCCCUCAUCAGCACACCUGGAGAUGCCAUCUUGUGAUAUUCAAGACAGUAGCACAGUGUUUCUUUUAUCAAAGGCUGCAGAAUCCCAGCUCUGGAUGGAUUAAAUUGUUUCAGAAUGCUGGCAUCUUGAGAUGCCUUCACUCAAAUGGUUUAAAUCAUAGGAUUCAUAUUUCUGGCUGAGCAUCUGGUUUCCUUGAUGUAUGGAGGAUUUGCAGCUUUUCAGGAGGAACUGAAUUGAACAUAUUGGUAGUAUACGUGCCUUGUAUUUGAUCUCUCUGUUGUGUUGCAUUAAUUAAGAGUUGUUUUAAUUUUUAAAUAAUAGGUCUUUCCUAUUUUAUGUUAGAGGUUGUGACUGUUAUAGCCAACUACUGAAUCAGAGGAUACUUAUCAAUCUUUUUUCCCAAACACAAGGAGAGUUAAAGGAAAGCAUUUCUAAAACAGAAAACAACAGCAGAUUAGUGGAUUAGUGGAUUCUGUUGCAUUAAACUCUACUUUUG
rnacentral:lncRNA from 1 species